GAGGGUAGUAUAGUCAUCACAGACCCAAGCCUCUCGGCCAUACAGGGGUCGUGGUGUCUAGAGAGGUGGCGGGGGUGACCAUGGAGCAUGCAUGCACUUUUGCAUAUGAUGCACGGUGCAUCUGUGGGGAUACUUUUGCAUACAUGCUUACUAGAUAUUAGUUGCAUGUGAUUGUGUAUUGUUGCAUUUGUCUGAGCUAUGUAUGCUGCAUAUGGAUGCCAUGCUGCAUACAUGUCAUUUACUUUACAUAUAUUUGCAGUCGUAUAUGUAUUGCACAGGUGUCGGGAGUUUGUUGUUGACUCGGUGGGUUUACGGAUCAUGGGAUCAGGGUGUUGGUUCUUUUCGGGCAGUAGGUAGAUGAUAUGGAGAUGCUUGGAGUAUGCUGCUGGCCGGUCCCCUUUCCCACGUCAUAUCCGAGGACCUUUAUCGGUUUUGUUUCUCUUUUCCUACACUUCGUAUUUGUUGGGUUUAGAGUUGCGAGAACGAAUUGUGUUUUUGAUACGUGUAUUGUGGACUUGUAUCUGUGAUGUGUUUCGUGGACUUUUGUAUUUGUGGGUUUCCUCUUUGCCUUUC